UACAGAGGUCCCAAGCGUUGUUCGGAUUCACUGGGCAUAAAGGGUGCGCAGGUGGCAUGGUAAGUUUGGUGUGAAAGCUUCGGGCUUAACCCGGAAAUGGCAUUGAAAACUACUGUGCUGGAGGAUCGGAGGGGGGACUGGAAUUCUUGGUGUAGCAGUGAAAUGCGUAGAUAUCAAGAGGAACACCAGUGGCGAAGGCGAGUCCCUGGACGAUACCUGACACUGAGGCACGAAAGCCAAGGGAGCAAACAGG
rnacentral:rRNA from 1 species